UGCAAAUUAAAAGUUAAGUCAAAUUCACACACAUGCAGCCAUGUACAGGUGUAAAUUUUGUGGUGUUUGUAGUUCAGAAUUAAGACAAUUUUGUUAUCAUAUGAAGAAACAUCAGCACACAGCUAAUUAACAGGGGUUUGUCUGUUUUAUAUUGUAUAAAAAUAGAAUACACACAGUUUGCUGCUGUUCCUCUUAUUAUUUAUUAUACACAAUGACCAACAGGAAAAAACAGCCUAACAUUUCAGCACAGGCCAAAAUGCCAAAACAUUAGGCAGUUUUUUCCUGUAAUUGAUCAUAAUUUUCAUUACAUAAUAAAUAAUAAGAGAAAUAGGAGCAAACCGUGUGGAUUCUAUUUUUGUACAGUGUGAGGCCUGCUAUCCAGCAUUCUUGUGGAAACCUUAUUUGUAAGGGUGAGCACAUUGUCUUAUUGGACUCUUGUCUGUUUUUAGGGAAUAAUUUUAUGUCUGCAAGCCGCUGGAUGAUCAGUUUGGAGGGCAAGAUAUUUUAUGAGCCUGAGCAGAUGCACGACUUUGGCAGCACCCUUGCUGUCUUCUUUGCGUCAUACUACGUUUUCAACCUUGAGUAUCAGGAGUCAGCGUCCAUCACACUGGAGAUGAUACAGAGGUUCUUUGUGAGGAUCCAGACAUGGGAACAAAAUGCCCUGCAAAACUUGGUACAAGCCGCAAGACAGGUCGUGUCGUAAAGAGGAAGGUUACAAGCAUCAGCCCUCGGAUCACCACCUUCCUCCAGCGGCUCUCUGGAGGACUUCCAACUAGGUGGUGAUGAAGACUACGCUGACUACCAUCCUGGUAACGGAAAUCUAAAUCCCAUGUCACUUUCUAUUUCCUGAGACCCACUGAUAAUUAUUACAUUUUGUAAAUGAUUUUUGUUUUACAAUUGUAAUAGUUUAUUUAAUGUUCAUGCUGGUGGGUUUGUCCUGUUUUUAGUGGAAUGAAAAACUGUUUUCCUUAAAAAAAUCAGACACAGAAAGGUGAAGGACUGUGUAGUUUUCAUGUACGCUUCUAUUUAUUUUGGUUAUUGACAUUGUUUUUAUUCAGUUGAAAAAUGUUUUUCUUGUUAAAAAAAAUUAUCAACAAUAAAUGUUGGUUUAAUUCACUAUUCUGAGACUACUUUAUUCAAUUAUAUUGUUUUUUGUAAAUGUUCUUAUAUUGAAUAUGAAUGUUAAUAUUAUUUUAUAUGCUGUAAAACACAAUUACAGUCUAAACAAAUUAUACUGUACACAAUUACAGUGUUAUACCAUAAACCACAUUUGCAGUACAGUGAUACUAUAAAACUUAAUCACGGUAAGUCUUUCUAACUGUAAACCACGUUUACA
ensembl:lncRNA